AUUCAGCUGAUGAGUCCUAAGUAGGACGAAAUGGUCUUCUUGGAU
rfam:Schistosoma mattheei strain Denwood, Zambia genome assembly, scaffold: SMTD_scaffold0012860